UACGAAGGGUGCAAGCGUUAAUCGGAAUGAUUGGGCGUAAAGCGCCUGUAGGGGGUUUUUUAAGUCGGCCGCCAAAUCCCAGGGCUCAACUCUGGACAGGCGGUGGAAACUACCAAGCUGGAGUACGGUAGGGGCAGAGGGAAUUUCCGGUGGAGCGGUGAAAUGCGCAGAUAUCAGGAAGAACACCCGUGGCUAAGGCGGCUCUCUAGUACGGUACUGACGCUGAGACGCGAAAGCGUGGGGAGCGAACAGG
rnacentral:rRNA from 1 species